rnacentral:tRNA from 1 species
GGUUCCAUAGUGUAGUGGUUAGCAUGUCUGCUUUAUACGCAGAAGGUCCUGGGUUCCCAUCCCAGUGGAGCCA